GUCUCUACCUCCCAAAGUGCUGGGAUUACAGACAUAAGACACUGCGGCCAGCCAGAUAGCUGUAUAUUUUCUAAAACCAAAAUGUUAGUGAGAACAGUGGCACCGUUUUACACUUUUGCAAAUCUCUUUACUGCCUGGCUUGUAGAAGACAGCUAGAUUCUCAGCUGCUUCUGCAUUCAAUCUGUUGCAAUGGGUUGCUUUGGUUAAAAUAUGUGAUGAAAACUCAGCUUCAUGAUAUAUGUAGUUGGGAAAGAGAGGAGUAUUUUAAUAGCCUUUUCAGUGAAUUGUGGCUAUUGUUCUUUCUUCCAUACCAAAACUCGAGGUGGUAGUUUCUUAAAGGUUAGUUAGUACGUGGACAUUUCAUACUCUGUUAACGUUACGCUCCACUGGUUUGCCUUGCACUUUGAAUAGAUCUUUUACUCAUGCAUGGUUUUGUAACAUUACUUAUUGGUCAUUUGGAAAAUAUUGGUUCACCGAGUUAUGCAGAUCUCCCGAAUGUUGACACAUUUCAUUAUACAAUAUUUUUUAAAAAGCACACUCAUCAAUGCUAUCACCGGUCUCAUUAGAAUUGAAAGCUUUCAAACUCAAUGCUCACUUGAUUCACUUUUGAGAAAAAGUAUGCCGAAGACCCAAGUCUGAUAACUAUAGUUUAUCAUUUGUUCUUUUAAGUAAAACUGUUGUUUGAUGCA